GGCGGCAGGCCUAACACAUGCAAGUCGAACGGUAACACAUUGCAGCUUGCUGCUUUGCUGACGAGUGGCGGACGGGUGAGUAAUGUCUGGGAAACUGCCUGAUGGAGGGGGAUAACUACUGGAAACGGUAGCUAAUACCGCAUAACGUCGCAAGACCAAAGAGGGGGACCUUCGGGCCUCUUGCCAUCGGAUGUGCCCAGAUGGGAUUAGCUAGUAGGUGGGGUAAAGGCUCACCUAGGCGACGAUCCCUAGCUGGUCUGAGAGGAUGACCAGCCACACUGGAACUGAGACACGGUCCAGACUCCUACGGGAGGCAGCAGUGGGGAAUAUUGCACAAUGGGCGCAAGCCUGAUGCAGCCAUGCCGCGUGUAUGAAGAAGGCCUUCGGGUUGUAAAGUACUUUCAGCGGGGAGGAAGGGAGUAAAGUUAAUACCUUUGCUCAUUGACGUUACCCGCAAAAGAAGCACCGGCUAACUCCGUGCCAGCAGCCGCGGUAAUACGGAGGGUGCAAGCGUUACUCGAAAUUACUGGGCGUAAAGCGCACGCAGGCGGUUUGUUAAGUCAGAUGUGAAAUCCCCGGGCUCAACCUGGGAACUGCAUCUGAUACUGGCAAGCUUGAGUCUCGUAGAGGGAGGCAGAAUGUCCGGUGUAGCGGUGAAAUGCGUAGAGAUCUGCAGGACACCGAUUGCGAAGGCGCUCCACCUGGACGAAGACUGACGCUCAGGUGCGAAAGCGUGGGGAGCAAACAGGAUUAGAUACCCUGGUAGUCCACGCCGUAAACGAUGUCGACUUGGAGGUUGUGCCCUUGAGGCGUGGCUUCCGGAGCUAACGCGUUAAGUCGACCGCCUGGGGAGUACGGCCGCAAGGUUAAAACUCAAAUGAAUUGACGGGGGCCCGCACAAGCGGUGGAGCAUGUGGUUUAAUUCGAUGCAACGCGAAGAACCUUACCUGGUCUUGACAUCCACGGAAGUUUUCAGAGAUGAGAAUGUGCCUUCGGGAACCGUGAGACAGGUGCUGCAUGGCUGUCGUCAGCUCGUGUUGUGAAAUGUUGGGUUAAGUCCCGCAACGAGCGCAACCCUUAUCCUUUGUUGCCAGCGGUCCGGCCGGGAACUCAAAGGAGACUGCCAGUGAUAAACUGGAGGAAGGUGGGGAUGACGUCAAGUCAUCAUGGCCCUUACGACCAGGGCUACACACGUGCUACAAUGGCGCAUACAAAGAGAAGCGACCUCGCGAGAGCAAGCGGACCUCAUAAAGUGCGUCGUAGUCCGGAUUGGAGUCUGCAGCUCGACUCCAUGAAGUCGGAAUCGCUAGUAAUCGUGGAUCAGAAUGCCACGGUGAAUACGUUCCCGGGCCUUGUACACACCGCCCGUCACACCAUGGGAGUGGGUUGCAAAAGAAGUAGGUAGCUUAACCUUCGAGAGGGCGCUUACCACUUUGUGAUUCAUG
rnacentral:rRNA from 1 species